GUGUUGAACUUGCAUUUAAGUGGCAAGUUUAAUUAAGGAGGGAGCAAUGGUUGCUCCAUUGUAGCAUUACUUGCAAUUAAUUAAAGCAUAAGGUCAGACCUACUGCGUACACAUGGGGAAGUCUUUCAGCUACUUCAGCAGGCUCUGGACUUGCAGGCUCCGCCAACGGAAACCGGCAGAAGUCCGAAGACGCCUGCGGAAAACAUGCCAGGGUGGGAUUUCUGCGGAUACCACUGGGGUGUCCUACAACACCUGGUGCGGCUGCAGCGCGGUUGGCACGUGUCCCUCGGAAGUGAGGCAACUACUCCUGAGGCUCUACAAGGCUACGGAAAAUUUCUGUUCCCUGUCUUUUCUGGAAGGGAGUGAAGCAGAUGCUCAUAAAGAGGCAGAACUGGCAAAGCCAGUGUCGGGCUGGGGGAUGUGCUUCACCUGUGCCAUGUUCCUGAGGAAGCCCAGCCCUCCUCUUCCUCCUCCUUCCCUGCUGCGCUGCUGCUCCUUGAGUGAAAGCAGCCAGGGGAUGUGCAAAAGCCCGGCCAGCAUCCAGCACAGCUCAGUUUCUGGAAACAUUCCCAGUCCCUGGCGUGUUCAUCAGGAUUGUUGUAUUUCUUCUGCUGAAAAGAGGGAAGUACCUUUUUCUCUUAUUAUUUAUUAGCAUACGAUAGUGCGAGGGACUGCGCCGGGGAGGGGAAGCCUGUUGUGAGAGGCACUGGGUGUAAACACCAGAAGUGACGGUGACAGUCCUCAUCACAGAGCGUUAGCAAUUCAAACAGCUGCGUCGGUCAAAGAAUUUGAGAGAGGGGGUGGAACAGAAGCGAAAGGAGGAAUGUGACGGUUUGCAAACACUGAGCGAGUUGUAUGAUUUUUUUUCACAGUUGUGGUUGUUCUUUAAGUAUCUUGAAGAAAAUGCACAUGAAACUUGUCCUGGACAAGUCUACGCGCAAGCUAGGUCUGUUGAAGCCUUAUGCUGGAGAUGCAGAAAUUUCUUUCUCGCACAGAAAGAGAUAACCAAAGGGCUUCUCAAAAAUUUGAAGAAAUUAUCCAAGGCCUGUUUUGCAUAAGAGCACAGAGGAUAUUUCAUUGAGCCCUAGGGACGUGGAGUCCUGGGCUAAUCUAUUAAUAAUAAGGAGAAAGGAAGUAAUAAAACAGAAGCAGUGGAGUGAGGAAAAAAUACUGAUGCUUUUUCCAAGGUAAAAUUUUGGGGUAACCAGAAUUUGUUGUUGUUUCCUAAAACAAUCAAUUUAAUCCCUCCACUCUGCAAGAGCAACAUUAAACCUAGGAGAUUUUUGGCCCCAUUUCCUAGACUACUUAUUAUCCUGAAACUUGCCUUAGAGAAAUGAUAACAUGGAAGGAAUUUCCUUGGGAAAGAAAAGAGCAAAGGAUGCUGCAGAAUUAUUUUCGUUAAGCUGGCUGCAAUGCUAAAAAUGAAUUCUGGGGCAGGACAAUACAGAAAGUCAGACAAGAAUAUUAAUUCUGCUCCCAGUCAUCCAAGGAGUUCAGUCAUUGAAGUCAGAAGUCAAUUCAUAGUCUCUCUCUGGUUUCCGUGGGCUUUGGGGAGGCCUUGCCAGUGCUAUACUUCUCUGCUAGAUUUGCCUGUGACUCUUCAACAUUAUUAGCGGAAAUAAUUUCUUCUAUGGAGCAAUAGUUACCUCUCAGCUGUGGAUUGCUCCAUCAUCCAUCGCAUCUGUCCUCCGAGGCAGCACUAAGGGCUGUGCGCUUGGGAAGCACCUGACCUGAGGUGUUCCCGAUUCAUUUGCCCAAUUAACCGGACACAAAACGCCCAUCCUAAGCUAAUCAUGAAGGCCAGGCUUCUCCUAGUGAAGCUAUUCUCUGAGGACUCACCUCUGCCAUGGUGUCUUCAAGGAACUAACUCAUUAAUUAUGGGAGAGGAGUGCUUGGAUUUAUAUUAUACGUGACAUAAAAGCAGAGAAAGAGAGAUUCCGCGGCUGAGACCCCAGGUACCAGCCCCGUUGCAAUGCUACGCUGCUUGACCCCUUUCUCGUCUCUCUGGCUUCCCGGGGAGUCGGGAGACUUGCCCGUCCCCACAGCAGCUAUAUCCCCUUGGUGGGGGAUUCUCCUAGGCCGCUGAAAAUCCCAGCCAAAGCACGAAGUGCCUAGCUUUAUUAAGCUACCACUGUACAGCUGCAAAGAACAAUUAAUUCAUAUGUGUAACAUGCUAUGAGGUCCCCAGCUAGCAGGCACCAGGGCAGAGGAAAAGGGUUAUUUUAGCUGUAGGAUCUCUUAUGAGCACUGCUCCUCGUGUCCGGUGGGGUGGUUGGCAGCACACAGCCUGACUGAUUUAAGCUUGCCAGGCUCCCGCGUUGGCUCUCCGAAGCACCUGAGCUGUCUUACAGGACUUGGCCAUAAACUGCGAGGCCCGAGGAAGAUGUUGCUUGUUUUCUAAAGGACAGGAUGAAAUCACCCCAUGUGUGUCCUCUGUCUACUACCUCUCUCAGCAGGGAAAACAUAAAUGCCUUUCCCCACCAUUUUAUUUACUGGCGUUUCUCUAUAUUCUAGGAAUAGGAUUUUUUUUUUUUGUACUUUUGUGUUUGUGUGCGAGUCUGUGUGGGGUAGGCGUGUGUGUGUUUAGGAGGUUAAAAAAAAUUUCUUGCUGUCAGCAAGUGAUGUUACAAACCUGCUCUGACAAGGCUGGUUGUAUAUUUACAGUUGGUGAGAGCGAAGGCUUCAUCAAUCUUCACGCUUUGAAAGGGACAGGCCCGCUCCCAUGAGCACCUGCUCCGGGAGAACAGCUGAACUGUGACUUUCCAGGGAGCUGGCUGUAAAUUUUAGCCAUUCCCCCCGCAGCCCACGCAUGCUUGAGCUCUUUAACCUUCCCAGGCUGGCAGGAGUCCCAGCAAUCAGUUUAGUGCAAAGACUGGGGUUCUUUUUAAUUAACCUUUUGUUUCCCACUGCAGGUGUUUCAAAGUUUCUUCAUGUUAAAAAGGAAGAGGGGGAAAAAAAUUGUUUGCAGAGGUGCAUCCACUCUCUUCCACUUUUCCUAUGCUUGGUGAUCAAACAGAACCAGUUUUUCUCAUUUCCCCUCUGCAUUUGUUGCUUGCACAUAUAACAGUAUCUGCUGGGAAUCUGCAGCACGGAUUCCCUUUAGGUGUCUGCAGAAAGGAUUCCUCGGAGGGCAUUUUAGUUCUGCGCUGCAAGGUCACAUUUCCUUCCUUCACGAGGCACCUACUUUUCCAGCCCACCCCUCUUUCUCCAGGCAACUUUAUUCAGCCACUUGACUCCCUCUGUGUGUUGAUGCUCUGUUUAAUUAGUUUGGCCUCUCGCACCCAGGCCGCCCAGCCAGGGGAAGUUUGAUUACAGUCUCGCAGAAUAUUUGUGCUGCUGCAACCUCCAGUCUGCCCAGAGCUCUCCUUCAAUGAAGGAAAAAAGAACCUCUCCUACAGCUCCGAAGAGGCCAUCGGAUAGGUCACGGCAUUUACUGUCUUUAACUGUAUGGUGCACAGCAAGGCCAGUGAGGAGACCGAAUUUAGAAAAUGCGGUAGGAAAGCACGGGGAGAGGAUGUAGACGAAUCACGCUUGGGAGAUAUAGCACUAUUCCUUGCACUUGGUUUAUUUCCAGUAGGCUGUCCUGUUAAUAAGGUUAAUGCAAUAAGUUAUAUCACUUGCUAGCUCUGGUUAAGUGUUGACCAAUAUUUUCUGGUUAAAGGCUCGUGGUUUGAAAACUUGUUAAAAUUCCAAAAUGCUUCACUUCAGGAGAGAAAGAUUCAUUUGCUGUAGGAAAAGGGCAUAUUGUCCUAUUUGAUCAAUAAAACUAGUAGUUGAACAGGGAACCACUGUAUCUCUAAGAAAAUUCAUAUGCAGAGAUUUAUCACAAGGAAAAAAUAGAUUUAAGCCCCACUUAAAACAAUAAAAUACAUCUUUGAGGGAAAGUUUCAGAAUUUUCUGUGUAAGAGGAAUAAUGGUUUCUAUAAUUUAAUAGGUGCUAAAUUUGGUGAGGAGUGCCAGCAAAUCCAUUUCACAUAAUGAUAUUUUAUCUCCCUUGAAAUGGUCAUUUUCAUGAAUGCCUUUUUAUUGGUUCCCUUGUCCCAUGAAGUGUCCAAGGUGGUGCUGCUAAUCCUCAAAAGCUGAGCACAUAGAUGUAGGGAUAACUAGGGAAACCUAUCAAUAACGAGGAGACAAAAAAUGGGCAAGAAAUGCAUGACAGUUAAAUGUGCUCCCUUUAAAUAAAGAGAAUUUCUAGUUUGACCCUAAGGGCUAUUGCUCUCUAGCACUUACUUUUGCAGGAGUUAAGGUGGACACAAGUAUUAUAAACUAGAGAGAGGAUCUGGGAGGAACUUCAGGUGAGGAUAACAUUGAGGCAGGUGGUCAACCAGCUGCUGAGGUGGAAUAAUAUGAUGAAAAGCUUGAAAUCUAGAAAAAGAGGGUUUACAAAGAUGAUCUGACUGGAAGUUUCAGCUAGAAAAAAAACCUGAAUUUGCCCUUAAGUGAGCGAUUUACUUUACAUAGGUGAAGGAAGUCUUUGCUUGGUAAAAGCACCAAUUAAUUCUCUUAGCUAUCUAAUAGCAAAUUCACAGAUUGCACAAAUUGCAAACUUUUUCCUCAUGUAGAUCCACCGAGGUGGACAGGAGCAUUAGCAGAGAAGGUUCAGAGAUUUUUUAGAGGCUUGAUGGUGUACACAGUAUGUAAACUAAAACUCAUGGUCAUGGUUUCAUACUGGUUGUUAUUCAGGUUGACUAGAGGCAGUGACCAUAAUCUAUGCAAAUCUGUCUCAAAAAAUAAACUGAGGUUCAGGAAAGGAAAUAAGGAAAUUUAUCCUGGUUGUGAAAAACAAGCAAAAAGUUUGAAGAAAAUCUGUUAAAAUAAAAUGGAAGGAAGUGGAAAAUAUACAAGGGUAGAGUUAUUAGGCUGAGUGUUAUUUCCUGAUAGACACUGCGUGUAUUAAAAAAAAAUUUUUUUUCACUGAAGGAAACAAGGUUUUGACAGAGGAAGGGACCAAAUACGACAAGGAUUUGGGGCUGCCUGAUCUGAGCAGGCAAAUGGACAGCAUUAGUUCAGCCUAAGCAGUGAUCAGACAACACUCUGUGCUUCUCUAACAUGUUUCAACUGAGGAUUUCUGAUUCACGCGCUUUUAGUUAAUUAAAACCCCAAGCACCCCUGAGGUAGGUAAGUCCAAGUUAGUGGCAGAACCAGGAGUCACGGUAGCUGGAUGUAUUGACGGCUACAGCCAAACACAGUCAAUCAGACUUGUCUGGCGUUGAUCGGGACGAAGCGUUUCUUCAAACACUUGAAUAAGUACUUGGAGGAAACACAGUGUCGUUUUAAGCACUCAUCAUCGUGUU